rnacentral:rRNA from 1 species
AUUGAACGCUGGCGGCAUGCCUUACACAUGCAAGUCGAACGGUAACGGGCCUUCGGGUGCCGACGAGUGGCGAACGGGUGAGUAAUGUAUCGGAACGUACCUUUCGGUGGGGGAUAACGUAGCGAAAGUUACGCUAAUACCGCAUAUUCUGUGAGCAGGAAAGCAGGGGAUCGCAAGACCUUGCGCUGAUUGAGCGGCCGAUAUCAGAUUAGCUAGUUGGUGAGGUAAAAGCUCACCAAGGCGACGAUCUGUAGCGGGUCUGAGAGGAUGAUCCGCCACACUGGAACUGAGACACGGUCCAGACUCCUACGGGAGGCAGCAGUGGGGAAUUUUGGACAAUGGGGGCAACCCUGAUCCAGCCAUGCCGCGUGAGUGAAGAAGGCCUUCGGGUUGUAAAGCUCUUUCGGCCGGGAAGAAAUCGUAUCAGCUAAUACCUGGUGCGGAUGACGGUACCGGCAUAAGAAGCACCGGCUAACUACGUGCCAGCAGCAGCCGCAGUAA